rnacentral:lncRNA from 1 species
AAGCUUAGGCUUGUUUUGUAAAAGUAUGAACUAUAAAGAUAAUAUAAGCAGCAAUACAAUUAAUGCCACAAAUAUGCCUUCAUUAUACAGGCAUAUCUUGUUUUAUGGUGCUUUGCUUUAUUGUACUUCACAGAUAAUUGUGUUUUUUACAAAUUGAAGGUCUGUGGCAGCACUAGGUCAAGCCAAAUCUAUUAGUGCUGUAUUUUCAACAGCAUGCGCUCAUUUUGUGUCUCUGAAUCAUAUUUCGGGUAUUCUUCGGAUAUUUCAGGUGUUUCAUUAUUAUUGUAUCUGUUAUGGUGAUCUGACCGGUGAUCUUUAUGUUACAUUUGUUUUGGGGUGCCAAGAACAGCACCCACAUAAGACGGCAGAGUGUUCAAGUGAAAGGAAGAGUUACACAUCUCUCACUUUAAGUCAAAAGGCAGAAAUGAUUAAGCUUAGCAAGGAAAGCAAAUCAAAAGUUGAGAUAAGCCAGAAGCUAAGCCUCUUGUUCCAGUUAGCCAAGUUGUGAAUGCAAAGGAAAAGUUCUUGAAGGCA